rfam:Triticum urartu cultivar G1812 contig184545, whole genome shotgun sequence.
UGGUCUUGUCUUCAGUCAAACUGUUCUAAGUUUGACCAACUCUAUAGAAAAAAGUAUCAACAUAUACAAUACCAAAUAAACUUUAUACUGAAAAAAAAAUCCUGAUAGAUCUCGUGAUACUGAUUUGGUAGUGUAGAUGUGAAUAUUUUUUCUACAAACUUGGUCAAACUUAAAACAAUUUGACUUAAGAGAAGACUGA